UAUUUCUUUCUCUCUCACAAUUCAUUUCCCCUUUCAAAACUCUUUACUCAACUGUUCCUUAUCUUAGUUUAGACCUUACACCCCUCUUUAUAAAAUUCCCACUGCUAUCAUACACUACUACUUCAUAUUAAUAACUUAAUUAUUACUAUUAUACAGACACAUUUAUUGCCUCAGGUGUGUGUGCGCUACUUCAUUGUCAUAGUUGUUAUUGAAUGAAGCAUUAAAUACUCCUUUCUCGUUUACGCAGCGAACUUCAGCUUUCUUAUAUAUCAGGUACAUUUAAAGUAUCCGAAAGUUUAAAAAUUUGAGUUGGCAAAUGGCACCUAGCAAGAAUGGUCGUGGCAAAACAAAGGGGGACAAGAAGAAGAAAGAAGAGAAGGUUCUUCCCGUUGUAAUGGAUAUAACGAUAAACCUUCCGGAUGAGACUCAAGUUAUUUUAAAGGGAAUAUCUACGGAUAGAAUUAUCGAUGUUCUUCGAUUACUAUCGGUGAAUACAACUACUUGUAAUAUCACCAAUUUUUCACUGUCUCAUGAGCAAAGGGGUCCACGUUUAAAAGAAACAGUGGACGUUUCCGCACUGAAGCCCUGCUUCCUGACUCUUACCGAAGAGGAAUAUGAUGAAGAAAGCGCAACGGCGCAUGUUAGAAGGCUGUUGGACAUUGUCGCUUGUACGACGAGUUUUGGGUCGUCGGGGACUAGUGGCAAAGAGUUGAAAACUGACUCCAGCAAGAAUGCGCAGGGUGUGCAGGAUAACAAGAGCGCCAAAAAAUCCAACAAGGUUCGGGCAAAUGAUAAGUCAUCGUCGCCGCCACAAACGCCAACGCUGCCGUCGGCGGCGGCUCAACAGCUGGGUAAAGAUGCUGCGUCGGUGGACGUAGAUGGAGAGAUGAGCAAUACUUGCCCUAAGAUUGGAAGCUUCUAUGAGUUCUUCUCUCUUUCUCAUCUCACGCCUCCUGUUCAGUUCAUAAGAAGAGCAACAAGACAACAAGAUGAUGAAGUUUUGCCAGAUGAUUAUCUUUUCUCUCUUGAAGUGAAACUUUGUAAUGGAAAGUUGGUUAUCGUUGAAGCUUGCAAGAAAGGAUUUUAUAACUUUGGAAAGCAGGGGAUUCUUUGUCACAAUCUUGUUGAUUUGUUGAGACAACUCAGUAGAGCAUUUGACAAUGCUUACGAUGAUCUGAUGAACGCAUUCUUAGAGCGUAAUAAGUUUGGGAAUCUUCCCUAUGGAUUCAGAGCCAACACAUGGCUUAUACCACCUGUGGCAGCACAGUUGCCAGCUGUCUUUCCACCUCUACCUGUAGAGGAUGAAAACUGGGGAGCAAAUGGAGGUGGUCUUGGCCGAGAUGGAAAAUUUGAUUUGUUACCUUAUGCCAAUGAAUUUUUGAAUGUUGCAUCCAUGCCUUGUAAGACAACAGAGGAGAGGCAGAUCAGAGACAGGAAGGCUUUUCUUCUUCAUAGUUUAUUUGUUGAUGUCGCCAUUUUACGAGCCAUUUCAGCUGUUAAGUAUGUCAUGCAGAAAGUUAAACCAGCUCAUUGUGAUUCAAAUGAAGAAAUCAUUUUUAAUGAGACAGUAGGGGACUUAAGCAUAUUUGUUACCAAAGAUGCUUCAAAUGCUAGCUGCAAAGUAGAUACCAAAAUUGAUGGAUUUCAAGCAACUGGAAUAAUUAUGAAGAAUCUGAUGGAAAAAAAUUUACUGAAGGGGAUAACUGCUGAUGAAAAUACUGCUGCCCAUGAUAUUGCUACUCUAGGUGUUUUGAAUGUAAGGCAUUGUGGUUAUAUUGCAACUGUAAAAGUUCAAGGAAAAGAAAAUGACAAAUUGGACAGCCCACUGCAAAGCGUGGAACUUCCUGAUCAGCCUGAUGGUGGUGCAAAUGCCCUCAAUAUCAACAGUUUACGGUUGCUCCUUCACAUAAAAGUGGACAACAAGGUAAUGCAUUCAAAACCUUCAGAAAAUGAAGAGACAAAUUGCUCUCAGACAUUUGUGAGGAGAAUACUAGAAGAGAGUCUUACCAAACUUGAAGAAGAGAAACUAGAAGGUGACUCUUUCAUCAGAUGGGAACUUGGUGCAUGCUGGAUACAGCACUUACAAGAUCAGAAGAAAUCAGAAAAGGACAAGAAACCCCCCGCUGAGAAGACAAAAAAUGAGAUGAAGGUUGAGGGACUUGGAAUACCUCUUAAGUCCCUUAAGAACAAAAAGAAGAGCACAGAUGGAACUAACAUGGAAUCCCAAUCUGAAAGCUUCAAAUCUGUUGCAGAUGGUGUUGGAGGGGGAUCAGAAAAAGCUGCCCAGCAGUCUGGGGAGUCUCGGUUUGAGACUGAUACAGAUCAAAAUCAGGCCGUCCUCAAGGCAUUGUUGUCUGAUGCUGGUUUUACAAGGUUGAAAGAGUCAGAGACUGGGCUUCACCUUAAGUCUUUAGAAGAGCUGAUUGAUCUGUCACAGAAGUAUUACAAUGAAGUUGCCCUGCCAAAGCUGGUGGCUGAUUUUGGCUCUUUGGAACUCUCACCAGUAGAUGGUCGAACCUUAACUGAUUUCAUGCAUACCCGAGGUCUACGUAUGCGUUCUCUUGGACAAGUAGUUAAACUUUCUGAGAAGUUAUCACAUGUGCAAUCUCUUUGUAUACACGAGAUGAUAGUUCGAGCUUUUAAACAUAUUCUGCAAGCAGCUAUUGCAUCGGUUGUUGACAUUGAGGAUAUGGCUGCGGUAAUUGCUGUUGCCUUGAAUAUGAUGCUUGGGGUACCUGAAAACAAUGAUUCAAAUGAGUAUGGUGUUGAUUCUUUGAUCUGGAGAUGGCUGGAAUUAUUUUUGAAGAAGAGAUAUAAAUGGGAUGUUGGCAGCCUAAACUACAAAGAUGUGAGGAAAUUUGCAAUCCUCCGUGGUUUAUGCCAUAAGGUGGGAAUUGAACUGGUUCCAAGAGAUUAUGACAUGAAUUCCCCAAGUCCUUUUCAGAAAGUAGACAUUGUCAGCCUAGUACCAGUGCAUAAGCAAGCUGCUUGCUCUUCUGCAGACGGCAGACAGCUUUUGGAAUCAUCUAAAACAGCUCUGGAUAAGGGAAAACUUGAAGAUGCUGUCAGCUAUGGGACUAAGGCUCUUGCCAAGCUGGUCGCAGUAUGCGGUCCAUACCAUCGAAUGACAGCUGGAGCUUAUAGCCUUCUUGCUGUUGUUCUGUAUCACACCGGUGAUUUUAAUCAGGCCACAAUCUAUCAGCAAAAGGCCUUGGACAUAAAUGAAAGAGAGUUGGGCCUCGAUCACCCCGACACCAUGAAAAGUUAUGGUGAUCUUGCAGUUUUCUAUUACCGACUUCAACACACAGAAUUGGCUCUCAAGUAUGUAAAACGAGCUCUUUAUUUGUUGCAUCUCACAUGUGGCCCCUCCCAUCCAAACACUGCGGCGACGUACAUAAAUGUGGCUAUGAUGGAGGAAGGGCUCGGUAAUGUGCAUGUUGCCCUCAGAUAUCUCCAUAAAGCUUUGAAGUGUAACCAAAAGUUACUCGGUCCGGACCAUAUUCAGACAGCUGCAAGUUACCAUGCUAUAGCAAUUGCACUCUCUUUGAUGGAAGCUUAUCCUUUGAGUGUUCAGCAUGAGCAAACAACCUUGCAGAUACUUCGAGCAAAGCUUGGUCCAGAUGAUCUUCGCACACAGGAUGCUGCUGCAUGGCUUGAAUAUUUUGAGUCGAAGGCUUUUGAACAGCAAGAAGCUGCUCGAAAUGGAACUAAGAAGCCUGAUGCAUCAAUAGCUAGCAAGGGUCAUUUGAGUGUGUCAGAUUUGCUCGACUACAUCAAUCCAAGUCCCGAUGCCAAAGGGAGAGAUGGAUCAAAAAGAAAAGGUUUUGUCUCAAAGGCUCUUAUUUCUCAAGUGAAGGGAAAAUCUGAUCAAAGCAAUGUUGCCAUACCAAACUCUGACACUCCUAAAGAUGGCCUAAAAGAAGAGUCAGAUGAGGUUAAACAAAUUGUCGAAGAUCACACUGAGCCCAAGAUGAAUAUGGAAUCCGUUGACAAAGUAACUGAAUCCCAUCACAAUGGAGAUGGAGGAAUUGCUGAGAACAAACCCAUCCAAUCUGGACCUUUGCUGAAGGAAACUUCAAUUGAGAAGUCUAUGGUCCGUGAUGUCUUAUCUGAACCUUCUGCUGAAGCAGAAGAUGGCUGGCAGCCAGUGCAGAGACCAAGAUCAGGUGGUUUCUAUGGACGAAGACGAAGGCAGAGGCGUCAAACCAUCAGCAAGGUCAUUGGUUACCAGAAAAAGGACCCAGUUUAUGAUGUUGAUCAUGCUAAACUGAAGAAUAACUAUCAAGCUAGUAAAUAUUAUGUCUUAAAGAAACGGACAUCACCAGGAAGUUAUGCAGAUUAUUACAUAGCAAAAAGUCAAACUCCUGGUGCCAAACUUGGUCGAAGAGUCAUAAAAGCUGUGGCCUACCGUGUAAAGUCCGUCUCAUCUUCUGUCAGAUAUGCUGUUCCUGAGAUCUCCACAACUGGAGGAGAUUUGUUAAAUACUUCAUCAGAGCAGGUUCAAGUUUCUGCAACAAAAGAGGUUGGAUCACUAUCAAAGAGAAGUUCGAUAGUAAGCCUUGGAAAAUCUCCUUCCUAUAAGGAAGUAGCACUUGCCCCGCCUGGUACCAUCUCUAUGUUGCAGGAGAGAGUUUCUGAAGAUGAAAUUCCUGAUAAUCAAGAUGCUAUGAAACUUGGAGAGGAGAGCAAUGGAGCAGAAGAAAAUUCCAAAACAAUGAGUAGAGAUGCAGAAUCCAUGGAGAAAGAGAAUAUUCAGGAUCUUGUUACGGAUUCUGCUGAUCAUGUAAAAAGAGAAACAGCAGCUACUGACAAAAAAGAAGAAAUUCAAAUGAGUGAUCUCAAAGGUGGUGAAAUUUCAGAUGUGAUAUCUGCAAAUGCAUCUAUUCAAACCGAACAUGUUGAUGUUAGUCCAAUGGAACAGGUUAGUGUCGAGACUCAUAAUGUCCCUACUUCUGACAAUUCUCCCAAAGUGGAUCCUUGUGAAAAGGACUCAUCAAGCAAUUUAAAUCCUGGCUGUAUCUCGAAUAUAACCUUGCAAGAUAUAGAUCAUCUGAAGGUAAAAUCUGCUUCAUCUCAUACAAGUGAUGCAAGUCGAGAAUUGUCCAGAAAGCUAUCCGCAUCAGCAGCACCAUUCAGCCCUUCCCCAGCCGUUCCCCGUGUAGCACCAUUACCUAUGAACAUUAAUCUCCCUUCUCCUGGAACACGACCACCUGUUGGCCCUUGGUCAGUGAACAUGUCACUUCAUCAAGGACCACCGACCAUCUUGCCCAAUCCAAUGUGCUCCUCCCCUCAUCACCUCUACCCUUCACCUCCACACACCCCAAACAUUAUGCACCCAUUGCGCUUUAUCUACCCUCCGUAUUCUCAACCCCAGACGUUACCUCCAAGUACAUUCCCCAUGAAUAGCACUUUCCAUCCGAAUCAUUAUGCUUGGCAAUGCAAUAUAGCUUCUAAUGCAUCAGAGUAUGUUCCUGCCACAGUUUGGCCUGGCUGCCACCCAGUCGAGUUUUCUAUCUCACCACCUGUGAUUGAGCCUAUAACUGACUCAAUUUCCGCUGCUAAGGAGCUAUCUGAUAAUCCUGAAAGCAUUAGUUUGACAACAAGCUUACCAGUAGAUCUCAACACCGGGGAUGAAGUCAAGGAAGAUGUAAAUCUUCCAGCAUCAGAAACGGUGGAGAGCUUAACUGCGGUUGGAUCAGAAAAGGAGAGAGCAAGCAACUCUCCAGAUUCACGUUUUGUUACCUUGUCCAGUGAUCAAUCAAAAGAGGGCAGUGGAUCAAAUGAGAAGGCCGGAAGUUGCAGUGAUAAUUAUGUGCAAAGAAAUCUUACGGUGGCGGAUAAUGAGAAGACCUUCAACAUUUUGGUACGGGGCCGGAGGAACCGCAAACAAACUCUGAGAAUGCCUAUAAGUUUGCUCAAGAGACCAUAUUCUUCUCAGCCCUUCAAAGCUGUAUAUAGCAGGGUUAUAAGGGAGACUGAGGUUCCCAGCUCUACCAGCUUUGAUCCACAUAAACAUGGCAUAGCGACUGCUACUUGAGGCACUUUUUGUCUUUUACCAGAUAAUCCUAGCAGGAUGGUCUAUUGAAGCUGAAUAUACAUAUCUGUUGGUCGUAUAUCAUGACUGCUGGAAUUUAUUGCUGUUCCAAUUCUCAUGGCUUUGAUAUUAGUUGGCUUUCAGACUAUGCCUCAGUUUAACUUGAAGGUUUACUUCUUGACAUACUUUUUGACGCUAAGGAGUUGUCUUUUCUGUAUAAGCUUCACAGUUUGGUCAGAAUAUUUUUUUGCCCUUUUAGGAGCAUAGUGCAAUAUAGAAUUUAAUCUUUUUCUUGUUAUUUCUCAGUUGCUAGUGAUUAUUGGUUUCACUGACUUGUAUACGUUACCAAAGUAAUCUUCGACUGCUCCAACAAAGUAUAUCUGCAUCCGAUCUAGGACUUGCAGAGUUGUAUGCAAUAUAUUCUGCUCUAAAUUCAAUCUGAAAUGAUCUGAGAAGAAUUCUGAGAUUUUUGGGUUCGAGUUGGAUGGAGUUCUGGCAAGUGCUUAAUUGAGUUUAUUGACCCAUUUAAUCAAAUUGCCUGUGCUGACUUCUUCAUCGACCAUGUAUUACUCUUUUGUAUCUAUUCAGGAAUGAGAUAUGUUGUUUCUGUUUUCUGUGUAUAA